GACAGAGGGUGCUAGCGUUGUUCGGAAUGACUGGGCGUAAAGGGCGCGUAGGCGGUUUUUCAAGUCAGAUGUGAAAGCCCCGGGCUUAACCUGGGAACUGCAUUUGAUACUGGAAGACUGGAGUACGAGAGAGGAAAGCGGAAUUCCUAGUGUAGAGGUGAAAUUCGUAGAUAUUAGGAGGAACACCAGAGGCGAUGGCGGCUUUCUGGCUCGUAACUGACGCUGAGGCGCGAAAGCGUGGGGAGCAAACAGG
rnacentral:rRNA from 1 species